rnacentral:rRNA from 1 species
CCUACGGGUGGCAGCAGUGAGGAAUAUUGGUCAAUGGACGAGAGUCUGAACCAGCCAAGUAGCGUGAAGGAUGACUGCCCUAUGGGUUGUAAACUUCUUUUAUAUGGGAAUAAAAUGUUCCACGUGUGGGAUUUUGUAUGUACCAUAUGAAUAAGGAUCGGCUAACUCCGUGCCAGCAGCCGCGGUAAUACGGAGGAUCCGAGCGUUAUCCGGAUUUAUUGGGUGUAAAGGGAACGUAGGUGGAUUGUUAAGUCAGUUGUGAAAGUUUGCGGCUCAACCGUAAAAUUGCAGUUGAAACUGGCAGUCUUGAGUACAGUAGAGGUGGGCGGAAUUCGUGGUGUAGCGGUGAAAUGCUUAGAUAUCACGAAGAACUCCGAUUGCGAAGGCAGUUCACUGGACUGCAACUGACACUGAGGCUCGAAAGUGUGGGUAUCAAACAGGAUUAGAUACCCGAGUAGUC